rnacentral:tRNA from 1 species
CUGAGAGUAGCUCAGUUUGGACAGAGUGCUUGGCCUGGAGCCAAGAAAGCGCUGGUUCGACUCCAGCCUCUCAGA